GAUGAAGAACGCAACGAAAUGCGAUAAGUAAUGUGAAUUGCAGAAUUCAGUGAAUCAUCGAAUCUUUGUACGCACAUUGCGCCCGCCAGUAUUCUGGCGGGCAUGCCUGUUCGAGCGUCAUUUCAACCAUCAAGCCCCAGGCUUGUGUUGGGGACCUGCGGCUGCCGCAGGCCCUGAAAACCAGUGGCGGGCUCGCUGUCACACCGGGCGUAGUAGAUUUUAUCUCGCUCUGGGCGUGCUGCGGGUUCCGGCCGUUAAAAAACCCUUUUAACCCAAGGUUGACCUCGGAUCAGGUAGGAAUACCCGCUGAACUUAAGCAUAUCAAUAAGCGGAGGA
rnacentral:misc_RNA from 1 species